AUUGAACGCUGGCGGCAUGCCUUACACAUGCAAGUCGAACGGCAGCACGGGGGCAACCCUGGUGGCGAGUGGCGAACGGGUGAGUAAUACAUCGGAAUGUACCCAGUAGUGGGGGAUAACUAGUCGAAGGAUUAGCUAAUACCGCAUACGCACUAUGGUGGAAAGCGGGGGAUCGCAAGACCUCGCGCUAUUGGAGCAGCCGAUGUCCGAUUAGGUAGUUGGUGGGGUAAAAGCCUACCAAGCCUGCGAUCGGUAACUGGUCUGAGAGGACGACCAGUCACACUGGGACUGAGACACGGCCCAGACUCCUACGGGAGGCAGCAGUGGGGAAUUUUGGACAAUGGGGGAAACCCUGAUCAGCAAUGCCGCGUGUGUGACGAAGGCCUUCGGGUUGUAAAGCACUUUGUCGGGAACGAAACGGACGCUUCUAAUACAGAGUGCUAAUGACGGUACCCGCCAGAAUAAGCAACCGGCUAACUACGUGCCAGCAGCCGCGGUAAAU
rnacentral:rRNA from 1 species